rnacentral:rRNA from 1 species
AUUGAACGCUGGCGGCAGGCCUAACACAUGCAAGUCGAACGAGUGGCGGACGGGUGAGUAAUGUCUGGGAAACUGCCCGAUGGAGGGGGAUAACUACUGGAAACCGUAGCUACUACCGCAUACCAUCGGAUGUGCCCAGAGGGGAUUAGCUAGUAGGUGGGGGAACGGCUCACCUAGGCGACGAUCCCUAGCUGGUCUGAGAGGCUGACCGGCCACAAUGGAACUGAGACACGGUCCAGACUCCGACGGGAGGCAGCAGUGGGGAAUAUUGGGCAAUGGGCGAAAGCCUGAUGCAGCCAUGCCGCGUGUAUGAAGAAGGCCUUCGGGUGGUAAAGUACUGUCAGCGAGGAGGCGUUAUUUGCAGAAGAAGCCACGGCUAACUACGUGCCAGCAGCCGCGGUAAUUC